rnacentral:rRNA from 1 species
UACGUAGGGGGCAAGCGUUGUCCGGAUUUAUUGGGCGUAAAGAGCGUGUAGGCGGUUAGGUAGGUCCGUUGUGAAAACUCGAGGCUCAACCUCGAGACGCCGAUGGAAACCAUCUGACUAGAGUCCGGAAGAGGAGAGUGGAAUUCCUGGUGUAGCGGUGAAAUGCGCAGAUAUCAGGAAGAACACCCGUGGCUAAGGCGGUUCUCUAGUACGGUACUGACGCUGAGACGCGAAAGCGUGGGGAGCGAACAGG